ensembl:ncRNA T01B7.11 ncRNA
UAGAAAAACCGAAAAGCCGUGUUAAGAAGUUUUUUCUUCCGCCGCCCACCCAUUCAACAGAAAGGGCUUCUCGCGUACGUCCGGAUGGGCGUAGCUUAUAGUUAAAACUCUUCAACAACACCAUCCGAUGGCAAACGGUAUUCG